rnacentral:rRNA from 1 species
GAGUUUGAUCCUGGCUCAGAACGAACGCUGGCGGCAGGCUUAACACAUGCAAGUCGAACGCGUGUAGCAAUACACGAGUGGCGCACGGGUGAGUAACACGUGGAUAUCUGCCUUUUGGUUCGGAAUAACUCCGGGAAACUGGAGCUAAUACCGGAUGGUUCCUACGGGAUAAAGAUUUAUCGCCAAAAGAUGAGUCCGCGCACGAUUAGCUAGUUGGUGAGGUAAUGGCUCACCAAGGCACGAUCGUUAGCUGGUCUGAGAGGACGAUCAGCCACACUGGGACUGAGACACGGCCCAGACUCCUACGGGAGGCAGCAGUGGGGAAUAUUGGACAAAUGGGGGCAACCCUGAUCCAGCCAUGCCGCGUGAGUGAUGAAGGCCUUCGGUUGU